GGUUGUAUGGUGUAGCGGUAGCACAUUGGAUUCUGACCUCGCCUUCCUGCGUCCGAACAUUCCAACGACCCCGGUUCGAUCCCGGGUACGACCU